rnacentral:rRNA from 1 species
GCAAACACAAAGUGAAACUGCGAAUGGCUCAUUAUAUAAGUUAUCGUUUAUUUGAUAUUGCCUAUCCUACAUGGAUAACAGUGGUAAUUCUAGAGCUAAUACAUGCUGAAAAUCCCGACUUCGGAAGGGACGUAUUUAUUAGAAUCAGAACCAAUGCCCUUCGGGGUUUUCUGGUGACUCAUGAUAACUCCACAGAUCGCAUGGCCUUGCGCCGGCGAUGGCUCAUUCAAAUUUCUUCCCUAUCAACUUUCGACGGUACGGUCUUGGCCUACCGUGGUUGUAACGGGUGACGGAGGGUUAGGGCUCGACCCCGGAGAAGGAGCCUGAGAAACGGCUACUACAUCCAAGGAAGGCAGCAGGCGCGCAAAUUAUCCAAUCCCGACUCGGGGAGAUAGUGACAAUAAAUACCGAUACAGGGCUCUUUUGGGCCCUGUAAUUGGAAUGAGUACAAUUUAAACCUCUUAACGAGGAACAAUUGGAGGGCAAGUCUGGUGCCAGCAGCCGCGGUAAUUCCAGCUCCAAUAGCGUAUAUUAAAGUUGUUGUGGUUAAAAAGCUCGUAGUCGAACCUCGAGCCUGGCCGGCCGGUCCGCCUCACCGCGUGCACUGGUCUGGCCGGGCUCUUCCCUCUGCGGAACCGCAUGUCCUUCACUGGGCGUGUCGGGGAGGCAGGACUUUUACUUUGAAAAAAUUAGAGUGCUCAAGGCAGGCCAAUGCUCGAAUACAUUAGCAUGGAAUAAUAGAAUAGGACGUUGGUUCUAUUUUGUUGGUUUCUAGGACCGCCGUAAUGAUCAAUAGGGACGGUCGGGGGCAUCAGUAUUCAGCCGUCAGAGGUGAAAUUCUUGGACCGGCUGAAGACUAACUACUGCGAAAGCAUUUGCCAAGGACGUUUUCGCUGAUCAGGAACGAAAGUUAGGGGAUCGAAGACGAUCAGAUACCGUCGUAGUCUUAACCAUAAACUAUGCCGACUAGGGAUCGGGCGGCGUUCUUUCUAGACCCGCUCGGCACCUUUCGAGAAAUCAAAGUGCUUGG